GUCCACGCGGUAAACGAUGAAUGCUAGGUGUCGGGAGCAAAGCUCUUCGGUGCCGCCGCAAACGCAUUAAGCAUUCCACCUGGGGAGUACGUUCGCAAGAAUGAAACUCAAAGGAAUUGACGGGGGCCCGCACAAGCAGCGGAGCAUGUUGUUUAAUUCGAUGCAACGCGAAGAACCUUACCAUGUCUUGACAUCGAGGUAAACUUGUAGAAAUACAGGGUGGAUUCGUCCGACCGAAGACAGGUGGUGCAUGGUUGUCGU
rnacentral:rRNA from 1 species